CGGCCGCGAAUCGCCCUUACUCCUACGGGAGGCAGCAGUGGGGAAUAUUGGACAAUGGGCGCAAGCCUGAUCCAGCCAUGCCGCGUGAGUGAUGAAGGCCCUAGGGUUGUAAAGCUCUUUUGUGCGGGAAGAUAAUGACUGUACCGCAAGAAUAAGCCCCGGCUAACUUCGUGCCAGCAGCCGCGGUAAU
rnacentral:rRNA from 1 species